CUUACUUUCAUUAUUUAGUCCUUGCUCUAGGGUCUUUCCCUUCAGCUCUCAGUAUGUUGAAGUGCUUGUGGGAAUGCACACCAGCAAAGUGAGGAAGGAUGAUGAAAAAGAGGAACAAUAAAACUCUUUUGCUAAAACUUACUUUUUGUUCUUCUCCAUGCUAAAUUCAGGUUACCUAUACAAAUAACACAUUUUAAGAAGUCAAGCCUCAAGGAACUGUUAGGUGGAAAUAUGUUGUCUCUCAUAUAUCAAUACAGUUGGUUCUGUAAUGGCUAGAACCUAGAGGUCAUAACACAGACACAUUGGAAUGCUAGAUCCCAUUGAAGAAGCCAAGGCUGAGUUUGAGUGCUGAAAAACAGUAUAAAUGGGAAAAACGACAGAGGUUAUCCUGGAGAUGCUCAGACAGGAGACAGCAAAAACUAUUUAAAUGAUUAGUACUUAGGAAAUGGAAUUAUUUAGAAAGAGUGGCUGAAUCCUUGCCAAUUAAAUGGGUGUCAAAAGAGAUAAUGGUUAACUUGAUUGGAAAAGAGGUAAUUUCUUUAAAAUACAUUUGCUCAUCUAAAACAAUUACAUAUACAAAAAUUCAGUACCAAUUUUAGAAAACUAUCUCCUGUUAUGGUACAUUUAAUUGAACAGGUUUAAUGUUUAUGUCAUUACUUACGCAGAUACUGAAAGUUCAGAAAUUUUAGAGGUUUGAUUCAGCAUGAUGUUGAUGUUCUCCAACGAAGACAAUAAGAUCCAUUUUAAUGGAACCUUUAACACUAUUUCAUAUUUUAAAAGAACAACAAGAAAAAAAUUAAAAAAAGAAAAAGAUUAUACGCUGCAUUUGGAGCAUAGGGUGCAUAUAAAAACUGAAAAGGAGGCACAUAUUUUCUCUAACCAUUUUCUCAGGUUUUGGAUGAAGUGAAUUCUGUACUCAGUUGUUUGAGCAAUGUUUAUUUGUGUAUUGACUGCUUAUGAAUACUUCUAUUUUUUUUUUCUAUACUAAAAGGAGUCGUGUUCAAUGUCUUGUUAACUUGCUGUGUGAAGUGACCUGCAUGUGUUUUGUUGUGGUUUUUGAACUGAUUUAUUUAAAAAAGCCAGGUGAACAGAAAGUACUGCUCCUUUUCCAGGACUUUAUAACCAGGUCUUGUUAUCUGUGAGGGCUUUGUCAUCAACCGUUCCUACUGUACCAGAAAUGUUGUAGUUUUGAUUGUAUUGAAAGUCUUAUUUAUUCUCCUAUGCUUGCAGCUGCUGGCUGGGCACUGCAGACAGCAUUAUUAAAUUACUGUUAUUGCUCAGUAUCCUGGCAUGAUGAGAAACUCUGGCAGAGGUGUUGAUCAAUGAGAAUGCUUUCUCUUUAGAUACUGGCACCAAUGUAACUCUGUUUAGUUAAUUGGCAAGAUAUUAGAGUUAAUUGUAAGUAUAAGUCAUUGUAUUGCUACUAAUCCCUGCUUGCUUAAAGAGUCACUUCUGAGGUAAAAAUAAAAUAAAAUAAAUAAAAAUGUUCUGAACUA